rnacentral:rRNA from 1 species
UACGGGGGGGGCAAGCGUUGUUCGGAAUUACUGGGCGUAAAGGGCUCGUAGGUGGCCAACUAAGUCGGACGUGAAAUCCCUCAGCUUAACUGGGGAACUGCGUCCGAUACUGGAUGGCUUGAGUUUGGGAGAGGGAUGCGGAAUUCCAGGUGUAGCGGUGAAAUGCGUAGAUAUCUGGAGGAACACCGGUGGCGAAGGCGGCAUCCUGGCCUGUUCUUGACGCUGAGGCGCGAAAGCUAGGGGAGCAAACGGG